AUUGUAUUAUUUAUUUAUUUAUUCAUUAUUGUAAUACAUUCUGUUGAACAACUAUGCACUAAAUGCUAAGUUCAAUUGCCUUUACAUUAAGUCUGUAAUAACAAUAAGCUUCUUUGUUUCCUUAUUCCUUAAGCAGCCUGUCUUUUUCACAGAUAAAGAUUUGGUUUCAAAACAGACGCACAAAGUGGAAAAGGAAGUAUACCAACGAUGUGGAGUUGCUAGCGCAACAGUAUUACUCCAGUUUGGGGAUUCCUGCCCCGCGACCAAUUUUUGUCGGCGAUCGAUUAUGGUUUUUCAACUAUCCGGGUCAACCACAACCGGGGACGCCAAUUUUUCCUCAACAUUUGGCGACUGUGCCUUUGCCACCAGCAUUACCCAUCGUUCAGCCACUACCAAGCAAUUUAUCGAUGGGACAACAGUCUUCGAUAUUUCAAAGUAUCCCUACGAACAACCCACCAUACCAUUUGAGUCAGAGAUUAGACUUUCGACAUCCGGAUUCGUAAGUAACAAGUGAUCACGGUAAAUGUGUACAUCGUCGAUUUAUAGUGCGCGACUGAAUCACUAAAAACUGAAAUCGCGUGUGAUAAUUACUACUAAACACUUUAGAAUGUAGCAGAACGUAUUGCAAUUUACGGUAGCGUUUCCAAAAAUUGGAAGACUUGCUGCUAUGUGAACGAACGAUGAAAUCGGAAGGAUUCGAGAAUCGCGUCGGUUCUGGCGUCAUUCGUACAUAUCAGGUUUGAAAAAUAAAACUCGUGGGGCCGAACUAUCGUCGGCAAUUCUUAGGAACUUAGGAAAUUUUUUUGUACUCGCAUUUAUUGUAAGGAGACACGGUAUACACAGUAUAUAGUUUCUUUUUUCAAUCGCAGUCUCUCCGUUUUUACAGGAAAAACCGAACAAACAUAUUUUUAUCUCCGAGAAAUCGUAACAAUAAAUAGUGCCGUACUUUCUUUCUUGUAUACAAACAUAGGAAACGAACUAAUAAAUUAUUUAUUAACUGUACAUUGAGAUUGGAUAUAAAAAUUAUAUCAAUAAAGUUUGUUACAAUA